CUCACUUCUGGCUAUUCCAUAGCUGCUGCUUUUCCCAUCCCCUGCUCUUGUGCGCUCUCGACUUGCCAGGAAGAACAACUCUGCAACAGGAUCCUUCUGCACACGUUUAUUGGGAGAGCUUGAUUGUAGAAGCGAAAAGACCCUGAGCCCAGAACUGGUGCUGCUUUUAUAGGCCUAGGAGAGGCGUGACUCACACCCGGAUUGGUUGUGCUUGGGUUAUGCUAAUCACCUCAUUUGCAUGCCUACAUCUGAUUGGUUAACUUCUCUCCCAUCUUGGCAAAAGAACCUUUACUGCCUAUGUAUGUGUGGUGGCCAGCAGUAGCCAACUGCUACUCUGCAACUGCCACUCUGCAAUUGCCACUCUGUAACUGCCACUCUGCAACGGCUUCCCACACCCUGCCCCAGCUCUCUCCCCUCACCUGAUCAGGACCAUCCUCCUCCUAUUGACACAGGUCACAUCACAGAAUGUCCUUAGUGAGUCUCCGAGGCACAGACUUCUGCAUGCCCAGGAAUGUUUUCCUUCACCCUCUCUGAAGGGUGGCUUUGCUGCAGCUGGCACCGUGCUGACGGUCACUUCUCACCUGACAUCGGGACACCCUUCAUUGACAUCUUAGAGCCAGUGCAGCAGCCUUCUCCUCUGCUGCUUUGGAGUUCCCAUGGGAGGUUCUGUCUCCUGAGGUGUCGGCUGGACAAUAGGACAGCAGAAAGUUCCUUGGCUCUGUAUGGCUCCCUGGGACUUCCUCGCGGCUUGGCAUUGACGAGGAGCACUCCAGAUGCAAAGGGAAGAUCCGGGUCUCUUGGUCUGGACUGGAAGAUUACACAGCUCUGGUCCCAUCAAUCCUUUCAGUCAAAACAAACGUUUCAGGGGAAGCUCGGUGUGUACCGUUCCUAGAGAUCAGCUUCCGGUGUCUUUACCACUUAUCAUCUUUUUUUUUUUUUUUUUUUUAGAUUUAUUUUCACUUAUGCCUCUCUCUCUGGAGGGCGGGGGAUGUUUGUGGAGGCUGGAAGAUGGGAACAGAUUGCCUGGGACUAGAGUUCAGGUCCUUUUUGAGUCAAAUUGAGAUUGUUUCGGUUCAGUGAGAGGCCUUGCCUUGAAGAUUUUGAUUCCUCUCAAUUUGGUUAGACCGGCUGGCCAGAAAGCCUUCAGAUCCCGUCUCUGCCUCCCCAACGCUGCAAUAACAGACAUUUCACCAUGCUGGGAAUUUUUUUUUUCUUUUAACUGAACUGAGCUCAGGUCUUGCCGCUUGCCUAGAAAGUACCUACCUGGCUGUGUACUGAGCAGUCUCCCUACCCGACCUGGGCAGGUUUUAAAUUCAUACUUCUAGUACCUAAAAUCCAAAUACAAGGUCCCCUCAUAGUUGGUGGUGUUGGGUUAUGAAAAAUUGUGUCCACUUGCUAGGUGUGAGACAGUAUCACAGCAUUGUAUAAAAUUUCCAGUUCCCAAGUGAAGUUAAGACUCUGUUGUUGCCAUUUGUUGGGCUGUCUCUACUGUUUGCAUUUUAAAUUCUUUACCCACCAUUACUAUUUAUUCUUAGUUUUAAAGACAAUACUAUUUUAAAUUACAUUUCUGUGUGAGUGUACACACAGUGCAGUUGUCCACUGAAGCUGGAGGCAGGGAAACCUCCUGGAGCUGAAGUUAGAG
ensembl:lncRNA